rnacentral:lncRNA from 9 species
GGAAGAUGUGGCUUUCUCCCAUUGACCUUGUUCAAUUACCAUAUCGGUCCGUGUCCAAUAGGGUCUUAGGGGUGGAAAUGUCCCUGUUAAGUCUCUUAGUUUCUUUGUCCUUUUUUUCCAGUAAACUGAGUCACAGGGCAUUAGGGAUUAGUGUUCCUCUGGGCGUAGGGACACCCUCGAUAGGAAACAAGGCCUGUGGGGAUGUUACUCCCUGGAGCCCUUAAGCCGCAAGUGCUAAUCGAUGGCCAUAUCAAAGAAGGCAUCGAAGCCCCGGCUCCCACACUGACUACCCGAGUUAAUAUUCUGCCUCCCUCCCACCCCGCCCGUCGCCGCCACCCCCUUUCUACAAACAUAUUUGCAAUCUUCUAACCACGGCUGGUUUGAGUGACUUGAGUUGUCAGGUCUGAUUUUGUUCUCUGAAAGUCAAUUUUUAUUUUUAAUUCCUCCAGUCUCUCCGUGGCGCUGACAGCUCCCUGCAGUGUGUGAGAUGUGCCACAGUCAGGGAAGGGUGGAGGAAAAAAGAAGACCCUUUUCAGGAAUGAAAGCUGCUUCUGUGGAUUUCCGGACAGCCUGGAUUCACUGUCUUUCCUUCUGUUCUCUACGCUGAGAGUAUUUACAUAGGAACCACCCAGAGGCUCUAAGUCUCCAAGCUGAUUCCUGGGGCCGAUUAGCCCACCUGAAAUCCUCAUCCUCCGCUGAUGGUGCCACAGUGGUUUCCAGAGCAACCACAGAGGAUGGCAGAGUAUGGGGGAGGGGUUCUGGUGGGGGAAUCUCGGCAGGAGCCCCUCUUAGUAUGAGUCCUUUCUCCAGCUACCCCCACAGCAGGAGCCAGGUGAGAGGGAGGCAGGAGAAGGGAGAAGGGUGAGGGUCCCAUAGCCAACAGCCUCACCUGUCCUUUCCUUGUUUCAGUAGUGGGAUUGGAUGUUUUUGCUCUGUGGUCAGCAGGAUGGCUAAGUGUUUACAGCGCUCAGAAAACACGGGUGGAUUCUGCAUUUUUUAUUUUUUUCUUUAUCCCCAAGGUCUCGUGGCACUAAAGCAUUCAAGCAUCCAGCCCAUCCAUCAGCAAACAUUUAUUGAGUAUAUAUUACGUGCCCCAGCCCUUGGCUAGUACUGGGGACACAGAAAUGAAUAGGUCAGAUGUGGCUGCUGCUCCCAUUGAGUUGGCAUUCUAGAACUGGAGAUUAAACAAACGCUCUGACACAUGUUGUUCUGACUGCAACUGGGACAAGAGCUAUGGAGGAGACAUUUACGGAACAAGGGGAGGAUAUUACAAGAUACCGUAAUCUAGUUUGGGAAUUCCAGGAAGGCUUCCUGGUGGAGAUGGUAUUUACAUUAAGGUUGGAAAUGUGAGCAGGAACUGGUCAGGUGGAAAGUGAGGAUUCCCAGCUGAGGGGGAAUAGCUUGUGCAAAGGUCCUGGGGCAGAGGCAAAAGUGUAAUUUUAAAGCUCCUUUUGAUCCCCAGCCCUGGAUGUGCCUUGGGGGUGAGCGACUGAGGAAUUGUGAAAGAAUAAGAAAUACACAUAGUGGUUUCUGUCCCAGGUCCUGACACAAGGCUCCUAAAACCCCUGUAAUUUACUUAGUGAUAAGAGCACUGGGAACAUCUUCUGUUCUAAUAAUUGGUCUUUGACUCCAGUCCCUGACACAGGGCUCCUAAAUCCUGGGUGAUAGGAGUGUAUUUCAUUCUAGCGAAGUGACUCUGGGGGGGUGCGUGGAUGGCUCCUGAUGGGGGCUGGUCACCAAAAAGACCAAGUCAUAAUGAAAAGUUUGGGAUUUUCGGCUCCACCCCCAUUCUCCACAAGGGGCAGAGGGAUUGGAAAGGGAGGUACUAAAUGAUCAAGCCUACGUGACGAAGCCUCCAUGCAAAUCCCAAUAGAAUGGCGCGUGUAGCAUUUCCGGGUAGGUGAACAAAUCCAUGUACCGAGAGAAUGACGCAUCCUAAUUCCAUGGGGACAGAAGGUUCUGCACUCAGGACUCUGCCAGACCUCAGUCUUCAUCUGGCAGUUCAUCUAAAUCCUUUAGCGUAUCCUUUAUUAUAUAAUGAAGUGGUAAAUAUAAAUAAGCAUUUUUCCUGAGUUCUGUAAUCUGGUCUAGCAAUAAUCGAAUCCAAAGGAAGUGGAUUCUGAGGACCUCCAAUAUGCAGCCAAGUCAGAGGGAAGGUGUGGGUGACCUGGGGACCUACUCCUUGUGAUUAGCAUCUGAAAUGGGGGGGCGCAGGUGAGGAUGGGAGCCUUCCUGGGACGGAGCCUUUAGGGCUGUGAGACCUGGUGCUCUCUCCAGGUAGCUAGUGUCAGAACUGAGUUAAAUGGCAGGACACCCAGAUGCUCUUCCUGGAGUGGGGAAGACACCCAUACAUCUGGUAUCAGGUGUAUUGUGAGUAUAAGAGCAGUGCAAGAGCAAAGGAGAAGCAUAGGGUUUUCUUCAUGCAGGAAUGUUCUUUAGGGGGAAGCAAGAGAGGAAGAGCUUGUCCUUAGCUGUGUGCUGGUCAAGGCUGAGCAUGCUCCACAGGCUGAUGAUAACAUGGGAAGUUGAACCAGGGGUACGUGUGAAACCAUCUCCUUAAAACACCCGAGCCUACACCUCCCUGCCCAUGGCCCUGCUUAUGGGAGCUUCCCAGUGUCAAUUUCCUUCAGGGAGGGGUGUAGAGCUUGGUGGUUGGAAGCUUUGCCAGAGAAGCCCCAUAGGGCUUGGAGGCUCUGGAGGCUAAAGUUGGGGUCCUACAUCCUGCUCCAGGCCUUUUAGCAUCUUUGAAGCAGAGGAUGAUGGGAGACCUUGGAGACUUCAUUGACCAUGGUGCUGACAGUGAUGCCACCUGCCCUCCAAAUUUGCCGUGGAUAGAGACAGGCGAUUCAGCAAUUCAACCAGAUUCUGACUGCACUGGAAGGACAGAAGAGGCAACUGAAAACAAGAGCUAGAACCUAGGAGGGAGCCCUGUGGACAGUGUCCUCGCCCUUCCUCCAUAGAGGCAAAUAUUACCUGGGGACAAGGAGGCACGGAGCCAUCAGCUACGUGUCCUUGGGUAAAAGAAUUUAUCUCAGCCUCUGUCCUCAUCUCCAAAAUGGGCACAGGCACCCGUAUCCCACAGGGAGGCUGUGAGGAUGAACUGAGAUGUGAGCUUCCUUCGCUUCCUUGCCACCAUCGGGUCUACCAGCAGCAGCGUCUUUCGACUCCCUUCUCUCCCUCCCUCUGUGAUGAUUCAUUUUAUGUGUUAGUUCCAUUGGGCCAUGGUAGACCUAGACCUUCGGUCAGACAUUCUGGGUGUGCAUGUGAGGGGGUUUCGUGAUGAGAUUCCCAUUUGAAGGGGUAGACUGCGUGAAGCAGAGUGCCCCCCGUAGUGCGGGUGGGCCUCAUCCAAUCAGUUGAAGGCCUAAGUAGAAGACUAUUUAGGGGACUCCUUCUGCCUGGUUGACCUGAGCUAGGCCAUCAGUCUUUUCCUGCCUUCAUACUUAAAUGGGAACAUCUCUCUGCUCUCCUUGGGUCUCAAGCCUGCCAGGUUUCAGAUUAGAAUUUACGAGACGGGCUCCCCUGGGCUCUCCAGCUUGCGGAUGACAGUACUUGGGACUGCUCAGCCUGCACAAUUAUAUGAAUCAAUUCCUUAUAAUAAAUCUCCUUCUAUGUGUAUGUAUCCAUCGUACUGGCUGUGCUUCUCUGUAGAACCUGGACUGAUACAUCCUCCUGCACAUACACUGCUCCCCUGCCCCAUCCGGCUCCACAUUCAAUGACUUGGGGGUUUCUGGGCCUCCAGGUCUGACACCUGCCAGGAGUCUUCCCCCAGGUGCUCAGGUUUCCUGGUCUGACUUGAUCAUUUCAUUGCCGUCACCCCAGUCAUGGCAAAUAGCCUUGUACUUCACCCACAAGGGAAGAAAGAGCUUGGUGAAGCAGAACCAGUCCAGAGAACUGGCUUUAAGCCCUGACCCUGGCAUUGACUUAGGGACCCUGAGCCUUGCAAUCCUCAUCUCCUAAUGGGGCUGAUGGCCCCUCACUGCCCACCCCACGGGAUUGCUCAUGAGCAUGAAAAAGGGACCAUGGAUUUCCUCCCUGUCUGCCUCCUUCUCGGCUCUCAGGUGUGCGUCUGCAGGGCUGUACCUUUUUAUUCCUGUCCCCGGCCCCUGGCUCAGGACCUCACUCCAAUAAUAUUCCCCAUGAAUGUUUGAUGCCCAACUGAAGGAGCAUACGAGGAAUCUCUGUGUAAUUACAGGAGACACCCGUCAGAGGCUCUGAGCCCCAGAGAUGUCCAAAGACAUUCUAUUAAAUGAGAUGGAAAUUAAAUGACAAGCCAGGCUGGUGUGCUGGAGGCAGGAGGAGAGCGCUCCAGAAGCCAGGGUCGUCAGCGGGCUCUAUUCCAAAUGUGUUUUCAAGCAAACGGUGGAGCCCAGUGAACCUUGGACAUGAAGCUCUUUCCAAAUGAGUCUUUAAUAAUGUAGUUAUACAAAUUGAGCCUAAUUAAAUUGUACCCGUUGAAAAUGCACUGCUGUACAUCUGAAUGAUGAAAUCGGGAUCAAAAAGCAAUCCAGAAAAGAUGCGAAGUAAUUUUCCACUUGUACUAAGCAAGCAGGGAUCUUCAAAUUGCAAUUGCCUUCAAUGCCCGCCCGGGAUUAUUCAAGGGCUGGUCCCACAGGUCUGUGGGUUCUCAAGGCUGGCACCAUCUCCCUCUCUCUCCAUCCCUUUUCUGCCUGCUCCUUGGCUUCUAGAGCAGGAGGCAGAAGAGGGCAGGAAGGGCUCGGGAGCCCCUGAAGUCCUACCAGCUUCAAUCUGGUCUUUGAAAAUACUGAAGGUAGGCAGUUCCCGGCAUGGCACAGCGGAAACGAAUCCGACUAGGAACCGUGGGGUUGCAGGUUCUAUCCCUGGCCUCACUCAGCGGGUUAAGGAUCUGGUGUUGCCA